rnacentral:rRNA from 1 species
AGCAGCAGCCACGGGAAUACGGAGGGUGCAAGCGUUAUCCGGAUUUAUUGGGUUUAAAGGGUCCGUAGGCGGAUCUGUAAGUCAGUGGUGAAAUCUCACAGCUUAACUGUGAAACUGCCAUUGAUACUGCAAGUCUUGAGUAAAUUUGAAGUGGCUGGAAUAAGUAGUGUAGCGGUGAAAUGCAUAGAUAUUACUUAGAACACCAAUUGCGAAGGCAGGUCACUAAGAUUUAACUGACGCUGAUGGACGAAAGCGUGGGGAGCGAACAGGAUUAGAUACCCCUGUAGUCCCUGUCUCUUAUAC